rnacentral:rRNA from 1 species
AUUGAACGCUGGCGGCAGGCCUAACACAUGCAAGUCGAACGCGUGGCGGACGGGUGAGUAAUUUCUGGGAAACUGCCUGAUGGAGGGGUAUAACUACUGGAAACGGUAGCUAAUACCGCAUACCAUCCGAUGUUCCCAGAUGGGAUUAGCUAGUAGGGGGGGUAACGGCUCACCUAGGCGACGAUCCCUAGCUGGUCUGAGAGGAUGACCAGCCACACGGGAACUGAGACACGGUCCAGACGCCUACGGGAGGCAGCAGUGGGGAAUAUUGCACAAUGGGCGCAAGCCUGAUGCAGCCAUGCCGCGUGUAUGAAGAAGGCCUUCGGGUUGUAAAGUACUUUCAGCGGGGAGGCGUUACCCGCAGAAGAAGCACCGGCUAACUCCGUGCCAGCAGCCGCGGUAAUAC